rnacentral:rRNA from 1 species
UUGGUGUGAAUUGCAGAAUUCAGUGAAUCAUCGAAUCUUUGAACGCACAUUGCGCCCGCCAGUAUUCUGGCGGGCAUGCCUGUUCGAGCGUCAUUUCAACCCUCAAGCCCCCGGGCUUGGUGUUGGAGGUCGGCACAAGCGUCCCUCGGGUCGCCGCCGUCUCCCAAAUAUAGUGGCGGUCUCGCUGUAGCCUCCUCUGCGUAGUAACUCACCUCGCACUGGAACGCGGCGCGGCCAAGCCGUUAAACCCCCCACUUCUGAAGGUUGACCUCGGAUCAGGUAGGACUACCCGCUGAACUUAAGCAUAUCAAUAAGCGGAGGAA